ACGGCGAGUGAAGCGGCAAAAGCUCAAAUUUGAAAUCUGGCGUCUUCGACGUCCGAGUUGUAAUUUGAAGAAGGCGACUUUGUAGCUGGUCCUUGUCUAUGUUCCUUGGAACAGGACGUCAUAGAGGGUGAGAAUCCCGUGUGGCGAGGAUCCCAGUUAUUUGUAAAGUGCUUUCGACGAGUCGAGUUGUUUGGGAAUGCAGCUCUAAGUGGGUGGUAAAUUCCAUCUAAAGCUAAAUAUUGGCGAGAGACCGAUAGCGAACAAGUACAGUGAUGGAAAGAUGAAAAGAACUUUGAAAAGAGAGUGAAAAAGUACGUGAAAUUGUUGAAAGGGAAGGGCAUUUGAUCAGACAUGGCGUUUGCUUCGGCUUUCGCUGGGCCAGCAUCAGUUUUAGCGGUUGGAUAAAUCCUCGGGAAUGUGGCUCUGCUUCGGUAGAGUGUUAUAGCCCGUGGGAAUACAGCCAGCUGGGACUGAGGAUUGCGACUU
rnacentral:rRNA from 1 species